rnacentral:rRNA from 1 species
UACAGAGGUGGCAAGCGUUGUUCGGAAUUACUGGGCGUAAAGGGCGCGUAGGCGGUUCGUUAAGUCCUGUGUGAAAUCCCCCGGCUCAACUGGGGAACUGCACAGGAAACUAGCGGGCUUGAGUUCGGGAGAGGGAAGCGGAAUUCCUGGUGUAGCGGUGAAAUGCGCAGAUAUCAGGAAGAACACCUAUGGCGAAGGCAGCUCUCUGGGACGGUACUGACGCUGAGACGCGAAAGCGUGGGGAGCGAACAGG